CACCUUUCUCCACCUUCCCCCACCUCCCUCAUCCCAGGGCCUGGAGCUGGAAAGAUUACACCCGAUUGCUUUUAGGGUGGCCCGGAUCUGCAGUGAUCAGAUCUGGGCUUUGAGGAUCCAGCCUUUCGGCCUUUCGUCAACUGCAUUCAGGGGAGGAGGGGGAGAGAUUUUUACACAUUCUCUGCUUUACCAGUUUUGCAAGAACAUCUGGUCAGAUUGUAAUUGUUCCAGGUUGCAGCUUUACUAAAGCAAUCGCUCUUUUCUGAUUAGAAA
ensembl:lncRNA novel transcript